ACAGUGCACCCAACCCCGGUGCAAACGCGGGCUAGAUGGACACCGCCACCGCCGGGAGUGGCAAAGAUCAGAGUGGACGGGGCAACAACGAGAAACUCCCUGGAGGGUUCUUUCAGUGCUAUAUGCAGAGACGAAACAGGGUUAUUCUUAGGAGCCUCGGUGAUCAAGACACCAAGAGUGGCUGAUCCUGCGACUCUGGAAGCUCUGGCGUGUAGAGAGGCACUCGCCCUUGCGAUGGACUUGCAGAUCUCCAGGGUUCUUAUUGCUUCAGACUGCCAGGGAGUGAUCCGGGAUAUCAAAGAUGCCACAGGAGGGCACUACGCUGCUGUAAUCAAGGAGAUCACUGAGACAGCGAGAGAUUUUGAGCAAUGCACCUUCAUCUUCGAGGGUAGAUCGACAAAUAUUGAGGUACAUAGCCUUGCUAAACAUGCUUUUGGACUGGAUUAUGGACGUCAUUUGUGGCUUAUAAACCCACCAGAUAUCCAUUGUAUUCCUAUGAACUUUUAUGAUUAA
rnacentral:rRNA from 1 species